rnacentral:rRNA from 1 species
UGCUCAGCUGUAAACUUAACUACACUAAUAAAACGCCCGGGAACUACGAGCCACGCUUAAAACCCAAAGGACUUGACGGUGUCCCAUCCAACUAGAGGAGCCUGUUCUAUAAUUGAUAUUCCCCGUUCCACCCCACCUUCACUGGAUAACCCAGCCUGUAUACCUCCGUCGUAAGCUCACCAUGUGAAUGCAAAUAGUGGGCUCAAUUGACUCCCUCAAACACGUCAGGUCAAGGUGCAGCUUAUGUGAAGGGAAGUAAUGGGCUACAGUUUCUAUAAUAGAAUAUACGAAAAAUCAUGUGAAACUAUGAUUUAAAGGCGGAUUUAGCAGUAAGAGGGGAAUAGAGUGCCCCUCUUAAUCAGGAUCUGGGUCGCGU